CAAAAUUUUACACAGUCUCCAAAUAUUAAUUAUUUCAUACGGUCUUUCCUGAUUUCCACUUUUGGGUUCAUUUGGAAACUGAUUUAUAGCUUUUGUAGAACCGUUACCAUUUAAUCUCUUAUAGUAAGUUGUUGGCUCCUUGGAGACAGAGAACUAUGUCUGUAUACACACACAUGCACACACAUACAUAUAUGUAGAUCUGUAUCUGAGCCAUAUUAGAGUCUUCUUUGUAUUCCCUACAGGGCCUAAAUAGUGUUCCUUGGAAUGAAAAUUACUCUGGGAAUGAAUAAACAAGAGCGCGCAAGUGGCUCCUAGAGAAGAUCCAUGAAGAACACUCAGAAUCUUCUGCUGAACUGCUGUGUCCGGAAUUGGUGGCUUCUUGAUCUCACUGACUUCAUGAAUGAAGCCGCGGACCCUCAUGGCAAAUAUAUAGGACAAUGCAAAAGCCAGAAACACAUUCCUUGACUUCAAACUGAAAAUAAGAAUACAGUCUUCUUUCAUCAGCAUUUUUGCACAACUAUGGAUUUUUAUAGGGUGGCUCUCAAAGUAUCUGCACUUCAAACAUUGUCUAUCAUUCUUUCAUCACUGGGAAAUCAUUUCAAAUAUUACAUGUAUCAAAAAUAAAAUCAGAUCAAAUUACAAAAAAAAUUAAAGUUUAUUGUGCAUACAAAAUAACAGUUCAUGACUUGGGAGACCACAAACUAAGAGUGGUAAGAAGUCGCCUUACAACAGUUACAACACAGUCUAUAAGCUCAAAGGAG
rnacentral:lncRNA from 1 species